CGAUUUUCAUCAAGCCAAGUCAAUGUGUUAUUGAAAAGCAAGAUGAAUGCAAGGCAAAAAAAAAGUGGACUGAAGAAGACAUUCAAAGCUCUCUGAUUUUGAGGUCAAUGGCAGGAGGAAAUAUAUAUAGUUAUCUUUAGAUGAAAUUUCCCUCCCUGUACCAGCUUUAUCAACUUUGAGAAAAUGGAUUUCAAAAUUUAAAUCUGCCCCUGGGAUUGAACAUACACUUUUAGAUAUUUGAGGGAAAAAAUGAAUAAAUUUUCUCUAAAGAAUGAUCAGUUUAAAGAUCUUGGAGUGCUGUCUUUUGAUGAUAUGGAUUUAAAAAGUAGUUACGAUUUCUCACUUUUCUAUGAUCAAGUCCAUACAAGAAAAAUGGGGGACUGCGUACCACAUUAGGAAUCACUGAGGAUUCUCCGUAUUUUUGGAAUCCAUCGGACACAUGAAAGAAGAUUUACGUCUUUCAUGGUGUGCCUCACCUAAUCAAACUCCUGAGAAACCAUAUAUUGAAUAAAGGGUACCAGUUACCUGAUGGACCCCAAAUCACAAAUAAUGAUUUUAUAGAAUUGACAGCAAGAGAUUGUGAAGAGCUAAAAAUCGCACAUAAGAACAAGGAUAUCCAUCUGGAAUGGGAUGGUAGUCAAAGAUAGUGUGUUUUUCUGGCCACACAAUUGUUAAGUCAUACAACAGCCUCAGUAUUUUUAAUACCUUUUUCUAGCAAAGAAGUCCCAAGCUUAGUUUAUUAAAAUGGUAGAUUCCUGGUUUGAUGUCUUCAAUAGUAGGAAACCCAUUGAUGGUAAAACAAAUUCUUUGGAUUUGGUAUCCAUUUGGAUGAACAAAAAGAGGUCCUCAAAAAGAUGAAGGAACCUAUAAAGAAUAUCCGGGGAAUUGGUAAAGAAAAAUCCCUUUUUCCUUUCCAGAAUGAAAUUUUGAUUUCCAUAUCACCUUUGGAAAAAAUAUUCGAAGAUUUGAGGGAAUCAUCUGGAAUAAAAUACAUCCUUACUUUGCAGUUGAAUCAGGCAUGCCUUGAAAACUUUUUCUCGUCUUUGAGGGCUCUCGGAGUCUCCAAUGAUCAUCCAACUAGUGUUGAUUGUAUAAAUCGAUUUUGAUUAGUUAUCCUUGGCCAAGCUGAUAGGAUCCAUAUUGUAUCAUCAGCAGCUCAAAUUGAAGAUAAAUAAAACGAUAAUUUCCUUGGCUGUUUAAUUAAGGACUUGGAAAAAGAAGUGAAUGAGCAAAAAAUGGAUUAGGAAGAAUAUGAUGAUACUUUACUAUUAGCAGCUGAAUUAGCCUUCCAUCCUAAUUUAAAACACAAAGUAUCAACAGAUUCUUCCUUUUCUGCCUUGGACUGUGGUAUUCAAACAAUUCGAGGCCUUCUUUGAGGCUUAUCAUGGACCAAAAAUUUCAAAUCUACCUAAAGUUAUUGAGUCAUUAAUAUCUCUUCUCCAAGUGUCAGCUCCAAAUUUCCCUCAGGAUGUCGUAAUAAAAUAUGCUCGAUUAAGAACCUUUAUUAGAAUUAAGGAACUAAAUAAUAGUCUAAAUGUGCAAAAAAACAAAGAAAUUGGCCGAAAAUUAAACAAAUUAUCACAUUUUUUAACAUAACUUUUUAAAAAUUAUAUUAAAUUUCUUAUAAUUGGUUAAUCACAAA
rnacentral:lncRNA from 1 species